rnacentral:rRNA from 1 species
GAUGAACGCUAGCGGCAGGCCUAACACAUGCAAGUCGAGGGAGAAGCCCUUUCGGGGGCAGAAACCGGCGCACGGGUGCGUAACGCGUAUGCAACCUACCUUUCACAGGGGGAUAGCCCGAAGAAAUUUGGAUUAAUACCCCAUAAUAUUAUUGGAUGGCAUCAUUUGAUAAUUAAAACUGCGGUGGUGAAAGAUGGGCAUGCGUCCUAUUAGCUAGUUGGAGUGGUAACGGCACCCCAAGGCUACGAUAGGUAGGGUUGCUGGGAGGGAGCUCCCCCACACUGGUACUGAGACAGGGACCAGACUGCUACGGGAGGAAGCAGUGAGGAAUAGUGGUCAAUGGUCGGAAGACUGAACCAGCCAUGCCGCGUGCAGGAAGAAUGCCUUAUGGGUUGUAAACUGCUUUUAGAUGGGAAGAAUAAGGCGUACGUGUACGUUGAUGACGGUACCAUAUGAAUAAGCAUCGGCUAACUCCGUG